GUUUCCAACUGCACAUUGCAAAGUGAUGGAAAUGGACGCCUGAACACCCGAGUUCUGCACUCCUCCGGGUGUUCACCCUCAGCAGGCUCCUCAAAAAUGCAACUGUAGCGGAUAUAACCUCUCAUUUAGGGGUUGUUAUAAACCUUUCUCCAGUCUCAGGCCACAGAUGGUCUACUGAGUUCCACCGAGAAGAAAAAUUUCUGCAGCGCUUGCUCUCCUGGCCCUCAGGUGAAUGAACAUGGUCCAGUAGGCUCACACCACCCUGCUGACCUUGGGCCUUCAUUGCGAGCCACGUGACGCAUGUUUAGGGUGCCUAAGACAUGUAAUGCCUCAGCUUGGGCUAAGGCGGGAGCCUCUCUGCAGGUCUCCAGUGUGCUGCCCAGGAAUGCUCAUCACCAUCUCAGAAUCCAAAGUGGACAUAUUUAUAGUGUCUCCUGACUUUGAAAGGAGUUAAGAGCAGAGAGCAGAAAAUAGUUGGUCUGAAUGGGAAAUGAAAAUCAAAUAUUCUCUUAUUCUAAAGGGCACUGUGAACAAGAAUUAAUAAUGUAAGAUGCAAGACAUGCUAUAUAGCACUCUGAAAAAAUAUGAUGCCUACGUAUUUAGUUUAAGGCAAAAUGGCCUCGAACCCAGCCCCGGAGAGACAGCAGUGAACAGAACAGCAACCCCAGCCCCAGGGAGUUUACCUUCUCUGAAGGGAGACAGGAAAUAACAGAUAAGAUGUUGUCUUGCGCCCAGGGCAGCUGUGAGUGUGUGAACGCCUCAUCAGCGAUUGCAGACACUGCCCAAAUGGAUCUCCAGAGACUCUGCUUCUGUGAGGCCACCUAAACUAUGAUCCCAUAAAAUUAAAAUGAUGAGAUGGAAAACCACAGAAAGCACCACACACCUGGCAGCUGAGCGGAACUUUGUGUUGCCAAAGGGGCCCAGGCCUGGGCUUCUGCCAUGUGAUUCCCUGCCCACCUUCUACCCAGAGGGGACUGCUAAUUUUUAAAAAUAGGUUUAAUACAGUCGUACACUCUAAUGUACUCUGUACUAUCUUCUUCCUGUGGGUGCACUUUUCAACUGUUACAAGAAGUUCAGUCCCUUGUGAAGCAUGAGUUUGUAAAGAUUUAUAUCAGUUUUGUUGUCUCUGUUAAUUUUAACCAAGUGGUGUAUCCUGAUAUAUGAUAUGAAUUUAGAGUUAGUAGAUCUCAUUUCUGGAGAAGGAAAUGGCAACCCACUCCAGUGUUCUUGCCUGGAGAAUCCCAGGGAUGGGGGAGCCUGGUGGGCUGCCGUCUAUGGGGUCGCACAGAGUCAGACACGACUGAAGUGACUUAGCAGCAGCAGCAGCAGCAGAUCUCGUUUCAACACUCUAGAGUUUGGAAAGUGUCCCAGAAGCCAGUAAGAAACCAAGCUUCUGCAGAACUGUGGGCAGGUGCUUUCACCUCUGUUUUCUCAUCUGUCACCAGGGCACUACUAUGGCCAUACAAGUCUGUAUACAAGUGUCAUACAAUUUCAAGGAGACUGUUCACAUCGUAACUGAACAACAAAGCGGUCUGUCUGUAACAGGAAGAUAGGAUGCAUCAUCUCAGUCACUCAGUAGUGUCUGACUCUUUGUGACCCCAUGGACUGUAUCCAACCAGGCUCCUCUGUCCAUGGGAUUCUUCAGGCAAGAAUACUGGACUGGGUUGCCAUCGGGCAUCUGUAUUAUGCAUAACCUGGAUCUGUCCAAUGGCAGAGAUGCUUGCUCAACCAUGAAGAUCAAAUUUUCUCCUCCUGGUGCCAGCCCUGCCACUCCUUAAAAGAUUGCAGCCCACCAGGCUCCUCUGUCCAUGGGAUUCUCCAGGCAAGAAUACUGGAAUGGUUGCCAUGCCCUCCUCCAGGAGGUAUUCCUGACCCAGGGAUCAGACCCACGUCUCAUAUCUCCUGCAUUGGCAGGGCAAGAACCUUGACUCUUUAUGGACAUGUCCUAAAUGCCUAGCACAAUGGCUCAUCUAUAACAGACUGUUGAGUCGGGAUAUACUCUGUGACUCUUUUAACCGAAACAGAAUAGCAGAAGUGAGUUGUGCCAGUUUCUGAGACAAGGCUGUAAAAGACUGGCCGCUUUUACACCCUGUCUCUUGGAGCGUAUCUUGAAUCUUCACCUCAGGGAGGAGUUAGCUGCUGUGCGUGAAGCCUGACUAUACUGACACAGCCAUGGGUGAAGACUACGUGCUAAGUCUUUGCUGGCCCAGCCAUCCCAACCUGGGCACCAAGACCAGUAGUCAAGGAGCCAUGUUAGGCCUCCUAAUCCCAGCAAACAUGCCAAGAAGAAAAAUGAAGAUCCCAGACAUACGGCCUCAGUCUAGCCAUCCCAGCAGCUCCCAGCUAUUCAAGCAACCCCAGCUGUGGCCACAAACGUCAUGUAUCAGACUCUCAAGCUGUCCCUGCUGUGCUGGCUCUAAUCCCUGACCCACAGAAUCAUAGGCAUCAUGGACAUAGUAAGAGUUUCACAGGUUUCCCUGGUGACUCAGUUGGUAGAGUCUGCCUGCAGCGCGGGAGACCUGGCUUCAAUCACUGGGUCGGGAAGAUCCCCUGGAGAAGGAAAUGGCAACCCACUCCAGCAUUCUUGUCUGGAGAAUUCCCCAUACAGAGGAGUCUGGUGGGCUAUAGUUCAUGGGGUCACAAAGAGUCAGACACAAGUGAGUGACAAAUGCUUUUAUUUAGUAAAAUUAAAAAUAUAAACAUAGACAACAUAUAAACUUAAAAGAUAUAUCAAAUAGUUUUUUAAAUAAUAUUCAAUUUGUUUUAAUGUCUAUGUGAUUAAGACUAUAAGGUCAUUGAAUGUUUGACUUAGGAGAAAUCAUAUUAUGGAUUAGUAGUAGUAGUGUUGGUAUUGUUUUUAAGAUGAGUGACUUUCCCACCAGAACAGAUUUGAAGCAUGCAGUAUAUUCACUCAUAUGUUCCCAGAUCCCAGUCCUUUCACUAGACCACAGUAGGUGUUUAACAAAUGUUUACUAAAAUAAGAAAUGAAGUAUGAGAUAAAUACUUAAGUAGAAAACUCUCCUUUUGUUUUAAUAUCUUUAUCUUGGACAUCCUAAAACAUGUUGCAAAGAGUUGCAGUGCACCAGCAGAGUGCAUCUGAGGUAUUCAAUAUUAAACCAAAAAUUCAGAUAUAUAAUAACAGUGGACACUGAUGAAUGCCUCCUAAAUGCCAGACAUUAGAGUUGAUGCAUUCCUUCCUACUAACUGACAUUCUUUUUAUUCUCAAUUUUACACACAAGAACAACAGUGAGGCUCAGAAAAAUAAUAUACCUGAUAUUGUAAAAAGUUUUCAUGUGACUUCAGCACCUAAGUGCCUAAUACUGCUUCAUUCUUAGACUGUUUUACACAAUAACAUUAUUUACUAAACAAAUUAAUAUAAAAUGUCAAUAAAUUAACUUUAUUUUCUAAAUAAAAUAACACAAUUUGACCACAUUGACCAUGAAGAAUAGGACCUAAAGAACACAAAAGUAAGAAAAGUCAGUAAUCUUUAUUCUGCCCAUUUCUUCUUUAUUGUGGGCCACAUUUGUAUGAUGGUUAUUAUACCUGCCUGUUAUAAAAGACUAAUCAGUGGUUAAAACCAAAUUAAAGAUUCUCAUACAAAGAAUUUUCAGAGAAAUCAACUUCUGAUCCAAAAAAAACUUCCUUUAACCAAAUCUUAAACCUCAUUCCAUCAUUGUUUUCUACUCUAUAAUUUUAAGGAUUCAGAAGAUAUGAUAGUAUAUUCCAAAGACUUCAGGUAGCAAAUGAAAGAGGUGAAAAAUUAAAACUAGAGGGGAAAUUUUAAAAAAAAUUUUUAAUAUUAAUAGUAGUGAGCACAUUCAGAUUUAUGCCUGAUUUUAUAUAUAUAUAUAGAGAGAGAGAGAUAGAUUUAUAAAAUAUUUGUAUGCUUGCUAUAUUAAUUUAGUAUACAUACAUAAAUUUCUGUAUUAAUUAUAUAUAUAUAACUUGUAAAUAUAGUUUUGAUAACAAAAUUGGUAUACAGGUCAAUAAGAAAUUAGGGAGGAAGCAUGCUUUAUGAGGAAGCAUGCUUUUUGGAGUAGAAUGUGGCAACCCACUCCAAUAUUCUUGCCUGGACAGAGGACCCUGGUGGGCUACAGUCUGUGGGGCCGCAAAGAGUUGGACAUGACUAAGUAACAGAGCACAUGCUUUACAAACGGCUAGUUUUAAUGAGUCUUCUUGAUCUAAACAGAAAAGUAUCAAAACUCUUCAUUUUCUCAUUACAUAUGUUUAUUCUGUGUUUUAACUUAUGGCAGAAAUGUUUCAUAGGAACUAUUCACUUUCUAUUACUGUGACUGUAUUUUUUAAAUUAAUUGUACUGGUUCUUUGCCCACUAAACAUUAAUAAGCAUGAAGAAUCAUUAUGUUCUAUAUAAGAAUGUUGAAAAAUGUAGAUUUUCUCAAGAGAGAUGAAUAACAACUUUCACUAUAGUCUUGAAAAUAAAACAAAAGCCAGGACAUGGAAGCAACCUAGAUGUCCAUCAGCAGAUGAAUGGAUAAGAAAGCUGUGGUACAUAUACACAAUGGAGUAUUACUCAGCCAUUAAAAAGAAUACAUUUGAAUCAGUUCUAAUGAGGUGGAUGAAACUGGAGCCUAUUAUACAGAGUGAAGUAAGCCAGAAGGAAAAACACCAAUACAGUAUACUAACACAUAUAUAUGGAAUUUAGAAAGAUGGUAACGAUAACCCUGUAUACGAGACAGCAAAAGAGACACUGACGUAUAGAACAGUCUUAUGGACUUUGUGGGA
ensembl:lncRNA